rnacentral:rRNA from 1 species
UACGUAGGGUGCAAGCGUUAAUCGGAAUUACUGGGCGUAAAGCAUGCGCAGGCGGUUCGCUAAGACAGAUGUGAAAUCCCCGGGCUUAACCUGGGAACUGCAUUUGUGACUGGCGGGCUAGAGUAUGGCAGAGGGGGGUAGAAUUCCACGUGUAGCAGUGAAAUGCGUAGAGAUGUGGAGGAAUACCGAUGGCGAAGGCAGCCCCCUGGGCCAAUACUGACGCUCAUGCACGAAAGCGUGGGGAGCAAACAGG